rnacentral:tRNA from 1 species
GGUGGUGUAGCUCAAUGGUAGAGUACUUGCCUACCAUGUAGAAGGCCCUGGGUUCAACCCCCAGCCCACUA